rnacentral:rRNA from 1 species
CCUACGGGAGGCAGCAGUGAGGAAUAUUGGUCAAUGGCCGGAAGGCUGAACCAGCCAUGCCGCGUGAAGGUCAGUGCCCUAUGGGCGUUAAACUUCUUUUGUGCGGGAGCAAUAAUGGUCACGUGUGGCCAGACGAGAGUACCGUACGAAUAAGCAUCGGCUAACUCCGUGCCAGCAGCCGCGGUAAUACGGGGGAUGCAAGCGUUAUCCGGAUUUAUUGGGUUUAAAGGGUGCGUAGGCUGUGAGGUAAGUCAGCGGGGAAAUGCCCCCGCUCAACGGGGUCAAGUGCCAUUGAUACUGCCUUGCUGGAAUGCGGAUGCCGUGGGAGGAAUGUGUGGUGUAGCGGUGAAAUGCAUAGAUAUCACACAGAACACCGAUUGCGAAGGCAUCUCACGAAUCCGCGAUUGACGCUGAUGCACGAAAGCGUGGGUAUCAAACAGGAUUAGAUACCCCGGUAGUC